GCCGACAGCGAGGGUACAAUACCCUCGCAAGGGCUCGGUUGAACCCGCCUCCGCAAGGUAUCGGGCUCGAUGAGCGGAGUGUGCUCACGCCGAGCCUACAGGGCCGGUGCAUCCGCCCCCGUGAGCCAUGAGCGGGGUGUCUCUGUUGCCGGCCCACAGAUUCAAAACU
rnacentral:snoRNA from 1 species